rnacentral:rRNA from 1 species
AGCGAACGCUGGCGGCAGGCCUAACACAUGCAAGUCGAACGAACCUUUCGGGGUUAGUGGCGGACGGGUGAGUAACACGUGGGAACGUGCCUUUAGGUUCGGAAUAACUCAGGGAAACUUGUGCUAAUACCGAAUGUGUCCUUCGGGGGAAAGAUUUAUCGCCUUAGAGCGGCCCGCGUCUGCUUAGCCAGUUGGUUGAGGUAAUGGCUCACCAAGGCGACGAUCAGUAGCUGGUCUGAGAGGAUGAUCAGCCACAUUGGGACUGAGACACGGCCCAAACUCCUACGGGAGGCAGCAGUGGGGAAUCUAGCGCAAUGGGCGAAAGCCUGACGCAGCCAUGCCGCGUGAAUGAUGAAGGUCUUAGGAUUGUAAAAUUCUUUCACCGGGGACGAUAAUGACGGUACCCGGAGAAGAAGCCCCGGCUAACUUCGUG